rnacentral:tRNA from 1 species
AAAGCAAGUCCCUCUAUCCCCA